GUAUCGUUGAUGGCUGGGUCGACCACUGGUGUACCGAUGUCUCCUGGAUAAGGCGGAUACCAAACCGCAACGCCGCCGCCUUACUACACAACAAAAUACGCAACGACCAGUUACUACACCGAGGUUGCACAGUUGGGUUUACAGUUAAACCACCAAGGAUCCAGAUUAUUACACCACAACUUGUGCUGCUCCCCGAUCUACACUAAUACCAAAACGCAGAGUACUACACCGAGGCUCCUAAGUACUACACCACCGAGGCACCUACUGAGACUACGCAACUACGUAUGCUGCCCCAACCUACGACGCCGAGGCUCCAGCUUAUUACACCACUAAAGCUGUCGGAAUACUACACUGGAGCGCCCAAGUACGAUAGAAGUCAGUCAAGUGAGAUUCUCCGACACGCAACACGACAGCACGAUGGUCAAAAGAAUUCAUUUCAGCAGAUUUAAACUGACCAUGUCGUCACUGUUGUCGGUUGGGACGCAAACUUCACGGAUUUGGCUGUCGUUUCUGGUUUGGAAAUAGAUUCCAAUUUUGGUGGUUAUCGAGUCAAUACCGAGCUUGAAGCACGAUCGAACGUCUGGUUGGCUGGAGAUGUUGCGUUCGUUUGUGGUAUCAAAUUGGGUUGUCAUCGUAUGGAACAUCAUCACUUUGCUGUUGUAUCAGGGCGAUUGCUGGAGAGAACAAUACUGGAAACAAAACAUGGAUGAACAACUGCAGUGCACCGUCACCAAGUUCAUUCUUCGUCGUAUUAUCAGUACGCAAUCGGUGUCGUGCUGUUGCCGUUUGUCGUAUCGUUGAAGGUUGGGUCGAUCACUGGUGUACCCAUGUCUCCUGGGUAUGGCGGAUACCAAAGCACCACGCCGCCGCCUUGCUACACAACGAAAACAUUCGCACCAACCGGUUACUACACUGAGGGCCACAAUUACUACACCAUUAAGGCUCUAGAGUAUUAAACCGCAGCUAAUGCUGCCCCGAGCUCAAUCACCGAGGCUCCCAAGUACUACACCUAGGCUCCCAAGUACUACACCAUCAAGUCACCGGAGUACUACACGUAUGUUGCCCCACCUUAUACACCGAGGCUCCCAAGUAUUACUUAGUUCCUAGCUACUACACCGAAGCUCCAACUUUAUUACACCACCAAAGCGGCUGAAUACUACACCGAGCCGCCCAAGUACUACACCACCAAGGCUCCAGAGUAUUACACCACAACUUAUGUUUCCCCGAGGCACUACACCGAAGCCCCGAAGUAUUACUCUGCCUCAAGCUACACAACUACAACUGAGGCAGCCAAGUAUUACGCAGCCCCGACUUACUACAUAGCGGCUGCUGCUCCUCCUUCGUACUACGUUGAACCGGAAUACUACACCGAGGCUCCAGUUUACUACACCACAACCUACGCUACAACUAGCUACUACACCGAGGCACCUAAGUACUACGCUACCAAGGCACCGAGUAUUAUACCACUACUUACGCUGUUCCGACCAGCUACACCGAAGCUCCGAACUAUUCCGAGUUACUACACCACUAAGGCACCUGAAUAUUACACCACACCCUACGCUUCUCCAACUUACUACAGGGACUUAUCUAAAUACUAGAGUCGAAUUUUCAAUUUUAGUAAUCAUGUUCAGAUUUGUCGGUCAUAUCUUGACAGUUACUAGUCACUAGGAAUUGUUGAAUUUUAAUGAGCAAAUAAUUGUCUUAACCUGGUUAAUCAUUUUGUACGGCUCUUCUUGCCACCUAAAAGCCUUUGACAUUGAGACACUUUCUGAUUUUUAUUGGAUCUUUUCUAGUUCGUAUGUUGGAGAUGACUAUUGCUCUAGUCGCUCUGCAUUCCGACAUAUUCUAGUGUUUGGACAAAAGAGUUGCAGAUAAGUGUUUGGUUUCUCAUAGAAGUUUAUUUGAAGGGUCUGGAGUUGAUCAGUCACUUGCCUAUAACUUAUGUAAAACUUCAAAUUUGUAAAAAAUACACAAGUCGUGAACUAAA